UAUUAUAUUUAAUAUAUAUGCAUUAAUUAGUGUAAGGAAAAAGAGGAAGACAAAUGGGUCUUCAGCCGAAUGUGGUUGCGGAUAGAUAGAGUAAUGAGUUAAUGAGAUGAUGAGGUUGUGUUGAUUUAUUUAAGAGAGAAGAGGGGAUUCGGGAGAAGGAGAGAGUGAUUUACAGUGAGGUGGGAGAAGGCAGAAGCUAGGAGAGAAGGAAGGUAGCAAAUAAGGGUGACCGGAAGGUUGGCCGGAGUUGGAGAUUUUAUUUUCCGGCGAAAUAUUCACUUCGGAUUUUAAAUCCUUAAGGCAAGUUCAUGCUCUACACUUCCCCUUUGAAUCCAUAAAUUCUUCACCUCUAUGCCUAUGCUUUUAUGUGAUCAAAAAUCAUGCUAGUAUUAGAUUUAUAAUUCUUUUUAUUUUCAAAAAAAAAGAAUUUUUGGAAUUAAAUGAUUUAAAGGUGUUUUAGAAUUUUUCUUGGGCCAAUUGUUAGAUUUAUGGCUUUAAAGAGGUUAAAUAAGGCUUCUAUAAUUUUUAGGAAUUUUUCUAUAUUUUUUUUAAAAAAAUUCCGGCCAUUUUUAUGUAUUAUACAAUUUCCGGCGAUAUUUUCCUUCCAUCGGUGGCCACUUAGUCGGAGAAGGAGAUGCUGAGUUAGGUGCGGUAUGGUAUACUGAGUUAUGGUGCGACAUAGAUCAGCACCAUUAAUUUGGCUUGAUUAAACAAGAGAAGUUCUGGUGCAUGCGCGCGCAUGAAAACUUCCAUGCAUUUGCAGGACCUGAUUUGGUGUGACGCGAGCACAUGGAGCUGCGGUGAAAUGAUCUGGUACGGCGCACACCAUCAGAGUUGAUGUAGCAGCUAAUCAGAAUGCGCCAUGUGUCAGGAGCUUAGCUUUUAAUCUGGUCCUUAUCGAAUUCAGCUUCAGAGAUGAGGACAUAGCGGAUUAGAAAUUUCAUUUAUCUUCCACUCUUCCGGAUUAUUUUAGUAUAGGAGUUUUUCCGACUUUAGAUUUAUUACGGAUUUUGGUUUAGGGGUCCUCAUAUUAAAGGAUUCCCGAGUUGUAUUAUUUGGAGUAUUAAUGGAGUUAUAAAGUUAAGGAUUUGUAUAUCUGGAUGUUAUUUAUUAAUUAUAAUUCAUUUUCGCUUUUA